rnacentral:misc_RNA from 1 species
GAUGAAGAACGCAGCGAAAUGCGUUAAGUAAUGUGAAUUGCAGAAUUCAGUGAAUCAUCGAAUCUUUGAACGCACAUUGCGCCCGCCAGUAUUCUGGCGGGCAUGCCUGUUCGAGCGUCAUUACAACCCUCAGGCCCCCGGGCCUGGCGUUGGGGAUCGGCGGAGCCCCCCGUGGGCACACGCCGUCCCCCAAAUGCAGUGGCGGUCCCGCCGCAGCUUCCAUCGCGUAGUAGCUAACACCUCGCGACUGGAGAGCGGCGCGACCACGCCGUAAAACACCCAACUCUUCUGAAGUUGACCUCGAAUCAGGUAGGAAUACCCGCUGAACUUAAGCAUAUCAAUAAGCGGAGGA